rnacentral:rRNA from 1 species
UACGUAGGGUGCUAGCGUUGUCCGGAAUUAUUGGGCGUAAAGAGCUCGUAGGCGGUCUGGCGCGUCGGUCGUGAAAACUUGGGGCUUAACCCUGAGCUUGCGGUCGAUACGGGCAUGACUGGAGUUCGGCAGGGGAGACUGGAAUUCCUGGUGUAGCGGUGAAAUGCGCAGAUAUCAGGAGGAACACCGGUGGCGAAGGCGGGUCUCUGGGCCGAUACUGACGCUGAGGAGCGAAAGCGUGGGGAGCGAACAGG